GCCGGAGUGGCGAAAUGGCAGCCGCAGCGCACCCAAACCGCGCCGCCGAAAGGCAUGCAGGUUCGACUCCUGCCUCCGGUA
rnacentral:tRNA from 1 species